rnacentral:rRNA from 1 species
UACGAAGGGGGCUAGCGUUGCUCGGAAUCACUGGGCGUAAAGCGCACGUAGGCGGACUUUUAAGUCGGAGGUGAAAUCCUGGAGCUCAACUCCAGAACUGCCUUUGAUACUGGAGAGCUUGAGUCCGGAAGAGGUGAGUGGAACUCCGAGUGUAGAGGUGAAAUUCGUAGAUAUUCGGAAGAACACCAGUGGCGAAGGCGGCUCACUGGUCCGGUACUGACGCUGAUGUGCGAAAGCGUGGGGAGCAAACAGG